rfam:Manacus vitellinus contig4745, whole genome shotgun sequence.
GUCAGGAUGGCCGAGUGGUCUAAGGCGCCAGACUCAAGGCGUUCCGCGCCUUCCCGCCGCGGGUUUGGGUGUUCUGGUCUCCGUAUGGAGGCGUGGGUUCGAAUCCCACUUCUGACA